rnacentral:rRNA from 1 species
GACGAACGCUGGCGGCGUGCCUAAUACAUGCCAGUUGAGCGCUGAAGGUUGGUACUUGUACCGACUGGAUGAGCAGCGAACGGGUGAGUAACGCGUGGGGAAUCUGCCUUUGAGCGGGGGACAACAUUUGGAAACGAAUGCUAAUACCGCAUAAAAACUUUAAACACAAGUUUUAAGUUUGAAAGAUGCAAUUGCAUCACUCAAAGAUGAUCCCGCGUUGUAUUAGCUAGUUGGUGAGGUAAAGGCUCACCAAGGCGAUGAUACAUAGCCGACCUGAGAGGGUGAUCGGCCACAUUGGGACUGAGACACGGCCCAAACGCCUACGGGAGGCAGCAGUAGGGAAUCUUCGGCAAUGGACGAAAGUCUGACCGAGCAACGCCGCGUGAGUGAAGAAGGGUUUCGGAUCGUAAAACUCUGUUGGUAGAGAAGAACGUUGGUGAGAGUGGAAAGCUCAUCAAGUGACGGUAACUACCCAGAAAGGGACGGCUAACUACGUG